rnacentral:tRNA from 1 species
AACAAAAUAAUAUAAAUAAUUAUAUCUUGUUUACACCAAGAAAAUCUUGUGCGCAAGUGUUGUUU